CACGUAGGCACCAAGCGUUGUCCGGAUUUAUUGGGCGUAAAGAGCUCGUAGGCGGUUCGGUAAGUCGGGUGUGAAAACUUUGGGCUCAACCCAAAGCCUGCACCCGAUACUGCUGUGACUUGAGUCCGGUAGGGGAGUGGGGAAUUCCUGGUGUAGCGGUGGAAUGCGCAGAUAUCAGGAGGAACACCGGUGGCGAAGGCGGCCGACUGGGCCGAUCCUGACGCUGAGACCCGAAAGCCAGGGUAGCGAACCGG
rnacentral:rRNA from 1 species